rnacentral:other from 1 species
AUGGGACGCUUCAAUACUGACAUGGUGUGAAGAGUUGACUGAGCUAGCUGGUAGUCCUCCGGCCCCUGAAUGCGGCUAAUCCUAACUGUGGAGCAAGUGCCCACAACCCAGUGGGUGGCUUGUCGUAAUGGGCAACUCUGCAGCGGAACCGACUACUUUGGGUGACCGUGUUUCUCUUUAUUCUUAUAUUGGCUGCUUAUGGUGACAAUCUCAGAGUUGUUACCAUAUAGCUAUUGGUUUGGCCAACCAGUG